rnacentral:rRNA from 1 species
GUCGUUACAAGGUCUCGUAGGUGAACCAGCGGAUGGAUCAUUACAGAGUGUAAAAAGUCGUCAACAACAUGCCACCUGUCUUGCCCGAACUUAUGUUGCCUAAGGCGGGCCCCGCGCCCGCCGACGGCCCCCWUGAACGCUGUGUGAAGUUGCAGUCUGAGACCUAUAACGAAAUUAGUUAAAACUUUCAACAACGGAUCUYUUGGUUCCGGCAUCGAUGAAGAACGCAGCGAAAUGCGAUAACUAAUGUGAAUUGCAGAAUUCAGUGAAUCAUCGAGUCUUUGAACGCACAUUGCGCCCUAUGGUAUUCCGGAGGGCAUGCCUGUCCGAGCGUCAUUGCUGCCCUCAAGCCCGGUUUGUGUGUUGGGCCCCGUCCCCCCCGCCGGGGGGACGGGCCCGAAAGGCAGCGGCGGCACCGCGUCCGGUCCUCGAGCGUAUGGGGCUUCGUCACCCGCUCUAGUAGGCCCGGCCGGCGCCAGCCGACCCCCAACCUUUAAUUAUCUACAGGUGACCCUCGAUC